UACGUAGGGUGCGAGCGUUAAUCGGAAUUACUGGGCGUAAAGCGUGCGCAGGCGGUUUUGCAAGACAGGUGUGAAAUCCCCGGGCUUAACCUGGGAACUGCACUUGUGACUGCACGGCUGGAGUGCGGCAGAGGGGGAUGGAAUUCCGCGUGUAGCAGUGAAAUGCGUAGAUAUGCGGAGGAACACCGAUGGCGAAGGCAAUCCCCUGGGCCUGCACUGACGCUCAUGCACGAAAGCGUGGGGAGCAAACAGG
rnacentral:rRNA from 1 species